GAUAACCCAGUGCGCUGGCGGGCCCCCUGCUUAAGUGCGGCCGACCGCGAGUGCAGCGGGAUAUGCUUCGUUCGUGAAAUCCCAAAAUCAUCGGGGCUCCGCACGAUGCGGAGGGCAUAUUCGGUGGGUUGUAUCGCAUAGCCGGCACGCGGCAACUUGGUGACCCUACGUUGGUAACGUCAUGUCCUCCUCCUCUCUCUCGCCCGCUCCCCUCGGACGGGCGGGGAGCGAGAAGCGGCCUCUUACGACGUCCCGUUCGUCCUCGGCGGCGCUUGCAGUCGCACGUGUGCGCACGUGCUUGCCUGCUUCGUCCGUCCGUCUGGACCUCGGGACGGUCGAGUGCUUACGGAUGCGGUGAAUUUGAUGGGAGUCGGGUGGGCGCACGCACACGCUGUUGCCGACCCGACGAAUGGAAGGUGUUUGCGCACGCCGCGAGCGGGCAAACGGAACGGAAUGAACGACCGCCGGCGGGCGGGCGGGCGUGCGUCGUCAUCGAUGGGCUGGCUGCGCCGUCCUGUCCGCGGGCGUCGUCUCUCAGGGUUCGCUACCUGGUUGAUC
rnacentral:misc_RNA from 1 species